UGUAGUGUAUCUGUCAUCUAUAAAAUAACAAAAAUAUAACAAUUCUACUAAAAACAUUUUCUGACUGACAUAUAUUAUCUACACAGUUUUCAUUUACAUAUUU